rnacentral:rRNA from 1 species
CAAAGGUUUGGUCCUGGCCUUGAGAUCACUUAUUACUCAACAUACACAUGCAAGUCUCCGCACCCCCGUGAGAACGCCCUUAAUUUCCCCCUCCCCGGGAUAAGGAGCCGACAUCAGGCACAAUAGUCUGCCCAAGACGUCUAGCUGCGCCACCCCCACACGGGACUUCAGCAGUGGUUAACAUUGGAUAUUAGCGAAAGCUUGAUUCAAUCAGGGUAAAGAGAGCUGGCCAAUCUGGUGCCAGCCGCCGCGGCUAUACCACGUGGCUCAAAUUGACCUCCAUCGGCGUAAAGCGUGAUUUAAGUAACUGCACCCAUUAGGGUUAAACUUGAGCUAAGCUGUGAUACGCUUGCCGCACGAGAAACUCAAAAACGAAAGUUACUCUAACUAUACCUACUUGAACUCACGACAGCUGGGGCACAAACUGGGAUUAGAUACCCCACUAUGCCCAGCCG